rnacentral:rRNA from 1 species
AGCACGGGAGCAAUCCUGGUGGCGAGUGGCGAACGGGUGAGUAAUGUAUCGGAACGUACCUUUCAGUGGGGGAUAACGUAGCGAAAGUUACGCUAAUACCGCAUAUUCUGUGAGCAGGAAAGCAGGGGAUCGCAAGACCUUGCGCUGAUUGAGCGGCCGAUAUCAGAUUAGCUAGUUGGUGAGGUAAAGGCUCACCAAGGCGACGAUCUGUAGCGGGUCUGAGAGGAUGAUCCGCCACACUGGAACUGAGACACGGUCCAGACUCCUACGGGAGGCAGCAGUGGGGAAUUUUGGACAAUGGGGGCAACCCUGAUCCAGCCAUGCCGCGUGAGUGAAGAAGGCCUUCGGGUUGUAAAGCUCUUUCAGCCGGGAAGAAAUCACAUGGGUUAAUACCCUGUGUGGAUGACGGUACCGGAAUAAGAAGCACCGGCUAACUACGUGCCAGCAGCCGCGGUAAUACGUAGGGUGCGAGCGUUAAUCGGAAUUACUGGGCGUAAAGCGUGCGCAGGCGGUUUGUUAAGAUAGGCGUGAAAUCCCCGGGCUCAACCUGGGAACUGCGUUUAUGACUGGCAGGCUAGAGUAUGGCAGAGGGGGGUGGAAUUCCACGUGUAGCAGUGAAAUGCGUAGAGAUGUGGAGGAACACCGAUGGCGAAGGCAGCCCCCUGGGCCAAUACUGACGCUCAUGCACGAAAGCGUGGGUAGCAAACAGGAUUAGAUACCCUGGUAGUCCACGCCCUAAACGAUGUCAACUAG